UUUGAGUGUAACACAGGAAGUCCGUGUGAACACACAGCGUUGUUUUGUCACUGUUAAAUCAACUGUUGACGGAGAAAUAUCAAAGGUAAUCCACAUGUUUUUGGACGGUGGAAGGAACCCACGCACACACGGGGAGAGCACAUGACCUCCAUGAAGACAGAGCCUGGUUCUGACCUGGUUGUGAACCCAGAUCUUGCUGCUGAAAAGAGAAUCACACACUCGUCUGUGGAUCACUGGACCAGAACUCCCUCUCACCACGCAGCGAUUUGAUGAUCAGCAGAAAAUCAUCACGAGCUCGAGUGACGGCGACGUUCAUUUAUCUUCUCUGUACGACUCUGAUGCACAGGAGGAAUCAAUUCCCUCAUUGGAGAAACAAAGGCGUCCACACUGUGAGUCUCAGUGAUCUGCACACAACAGUUUGAAGAAUGAAGCG